rnacentral:rRNA from 1 species
AUUGAACGCUGGCGGCAGGCCUAACACAUGCAAGUCGAGCGGAGCGGCGGACGGGUGAGUAAUGCCUAGUAAUCUGCCUGGUCGUGGGGGAUAACGUCCGGAAACGGGCGCUACUACCGCAUACUCUCCGCUGGGCCUAGGUCGGAUUAGCUAGUUGGUGGGGUAAAGGCCUACCAAGGCGACGAUCCGUAACUGGUCUGAGAGGAUGAUCAGUACCACUGGAACUGAGACACGGUCCAGACUCCUACGGGAGGCAGCAGUGGGGAAGAUUGGACAAUGGGCGAAAGCCUGAUCCAGCCAUGCCGCGGGUGUGAAGAAGGUCUUCGGAUUGUAAAGCACUUUAAGUUGGGAGGCGGUACCAACAGAAUAAGCACCGGCUAACUUCGUGCCAGCAGCCGCGGUAAUAC